AGCAAAAGGGCGUACGAGUAUAUCUGGUGUUUAAAUAUAGUUUCAAGACUUUUAUUUGAAGCCGAGAUCAAGGAGGACUUAGAUAUUUUGAAUCAAGGAUAUUUGUACCUGGUUGCUGUCUUAUAAUAAUUUGCCUGACUUCAAUAAAG